CAGCCGCCGCGGUAAUACGUAGGGUGCAAGCGUUAAUCGGAAUUACUGGGCGUAAAGCGUGCGCAGGCGGUUAUAUAAGACAGAUGUGAAAUCCCCGGGCUCAACCUGGGAACUGCAUUUGUGACUGUAUAGCUAGAGUACGGCAGAGGGGGAUGGAAUUCCGCGUGUAGCAGUAAAAUGCGUAGAUAUGCGGAGGAACACCGAUGGCGAAGGCAAUCCCCUGGGCCUGUACUGACGCUCAUGCAUGAAAGCGUGGGGAGCAAACAGGAUUAGAUACCCCUGUAGUCCCUGUCUCUUAUAA
rnacentral:rRNA from 1 species